UGGCACUAUUACUCUUUUGACUUAGUCAUGCGAACGAAAGUAACUAUAUCGGUGUAGUUUCGAAGAAACCGGUAUUUGCAUUUCAAUAAUGGUUAUUCGUACUUAUGGCUGCUCGUGUCACAUUACACGUAAUAAUUCUUUUAAAAGUAUGCAAAUAGCACUACGUGUUACACGAAAACCACGAAACAUAGAUAAAUACCAUAAACACAUUCUUUAUAUUCUAACUAUACUAAUUGUAACGCCUUUAUAUGCAUACGGUUCAGAAAUACAUAGCAAGAAAUACAUAGCAAGAAAAAGAGAUGCAAUGCAACCGAAAACUUUACUUAUGUAGCAGCUCGUUACAAAGAUAUUGUGUUACGAUAAUUAUAAAUUAUUUAGAAGAAGUAGUCUACAAUACGUACCUAUAAACUAUAUACGUCAUCGUUGGAUUGUUGGCAGAAUAGAAAAUUGGUAAAACGAAAGUAAUGCGUUUGACCGUGCGCUCUCCAGUGAAUGGCACGUUUCAGCGCGGUUACGAACCGAUUAAUCCAUGCUCGUGCAUCAUUAGUGAGAACGCAAUGAUGGUUUGAGCAACAUUAAAAGCCUGCAACGCGAAACGGUAUUCGUCGAUGCCGUCGAUCUACACCAACACGGACCAUUUUUUACUCUGGCAUAUCAGCCACUCAAAGCGUACGUACGCGCCGAUGGAUAAAUCAAUAAACCAAUAGCUAUGGUAAUGCACACCUGCUUUUAAAGUAUCAGCCAACC